UCCUUUCAUCGAUUCACUUAGCAGUCCGCAUCACCAUUCCACUACAAUUUCAAUCGACCCGAAUUAACAUCUAAAAAUUUGUAAGAGUGAGUAUUCGAAAACAUUUAGUAAGAUCGUGCAGUUUUCAUACACAAAUAUAUAACAAAUAAGAUCUAUACUUCAAACUACUCUGCUCUUAUGGAACAUAUUAGUAACCAAGUGACACACCCAUCUUAGAUCAUCUUAUUAUCUCGUAGGAUUUUAUCUCUCUUUUUAUAGAAUCCGAAGAUCCACUGACAAUUCAUAUAUAUUUAAUUGAAUAUAAAAAUAUAAGGAAACGAAAACACUUGCACAGAGGUAUCUUAUCUCAUUAAAUAAAAUGAACUAUCGAACAAAAUAUGAAUGCACGUGCCCAAAAUCUUUUCUAUACUUUAGUGAAUAAUGGUUGCAGAUUGGCUUCUUGUCUUCUAAUUCCCAAAAGUAUCAUCUCUCCCUCUCACGUAUGUGUAUACA
rnacentral:lncRNA from 1 species